UAGCUGUGGUCCUUACGGGAGUAAGGAGACAGGUGGUGCAGUGGUUGUCGUCAGCUCGUGUCGUGAGAUGUUGGUAAGUCCCGCAACGAGCGCAACCCCUGUGGUUAGUUGCCAGCAAGUAGCGUUGGGCACUCUAGCCAGACUGCCGGUGAUAAAUCGGAGGAAGGUGGGGACGACGUCAAAUCAUCAUGCCCUUUAUGUCCUGGGCUACACACGUACUACAAUGGCCGUUACAACGGGAAGCGAAGGAGCAAUCCGGAGCAAAUCCCUUAAAGGCGGUCCCAGUUCAGAUUGUGGGCUGAAACUCGCCCACAUGAAGGCGGAAUUGCUAGUAAUUGCAGAUCAGCAUGCUGCAGUGAAUACGUUCCCGGGCCUU
rnacentral:rRNA from 1 species